AAGCAAGAUGACCCUCCCAAUUUAAGCAUAUAAUUAAGCGGA
rnacentral:rRNA from 1 species